UAUAAUUUCCCUUCUUGCGGUGUUGCGUUAGGCAACGAAUAGGGAAUUCGGUGAAAGUCCGAGACAGUCCCCGCUGCUGUAAUCCUGCAUUGAUUUUCGUUUUAUCAAUGGAGCAAUCCGGCGAGUAAGCCACUUUCUUUGGAAGGGAAGGCCGAUCGGAUUCGGGAAAGUCAGAAGACCUGCCGCAAAAUAUUUUCAUUC
rnacentral:ncRNA from 2 species